rnacentral:tRNA from 1 species
UCUUUGAUGGUCUAACGGUCAUGAUUUCCGCUUGUCACGCGGGAGACCGGAGCUCGACUCCCCGUCAGAGAG